ACGGGGCUGCGGGGUGCGUUCAGGCACGCGUAUUCCCCGGGGCGAUAAUAACUCCUAGGGGACUGUCCCUAUCGGCACCCAGGUGUCGACAUAUGGUUCCCACCUGCUGUUAGCGGGCCACGGAGGAAAGCAACGCCGACGGCCACUGCGGCUCCGUC
rnacentral:other from 1 species